GACGAACGCUGGCGGCGUGCUUAACACAUGCAAGUCGAACGGAAAGGCCCUGCUUUUGUGGGGUGCUCGAGUGGCGAACGGGUGAGUAACACGUGAGUAACCUGCCCUUGACUUUGGGAUAACUUCAGGAAACUGGGGCUAAUACCGGAUAGGAGCUCCUGCUGCAUGGUGGGGGUUGGAAAGUUUCGGCGGUUGGGGAUGGACUCGCGGCUUAUCAGCUUGUUGGUGGGGUAGUGGCUUACCAAGGCUUUGACGGGUAGCCGGCCUGAGAGGGUGACCGGCCACAUUGGGACUGAGAUACGGCCCAGCCUCCUACGGGAGGCAGCAGUGGGGAAUAUUGCACAAUGGGCGGAAGCCUGAUGCAGCAACGCCGCGUGCUGGAUGACGGCCUUCGGGUUGUAAACCGCUUUCGCCUGUGACGAAGCGUGAGUGACGGUAAUGGGUAAAGAAGCACCGGCUAACUACGUG
rnacentral:rRNA from 1 species